rnacentral:rRNA from 1 species
UACGGAGGGAGCUAGCGUUGUUCGGAAUUACUGGGCGUAAAGCGCGCGUAGGCGGCUUUGUAAGUUAGAGGUGAAAGCCCGGAGCUCAACUCCGGAACUGCCUUUAAAACUGCAUCGCUUGAAUCCAGGAGAGGUGAGUGGAAUUCCGAGUGUAGAGGUGAAAUUCGUAGAUAUCGAGAGGAACACCGGUGGCGAAGGCGGCCAACUGGACAGAUACUGACGCUGAGACACGAAAGCGUGGGGAGCAAACAGG